rnacentral:lncRNA from 1 species
CUAAGAAGACCUCAGGAAAGCUGGAAAGCACAACAGUGAGAUGCAGAAGUAAGAAACACCCCAAUCUUAGCCAAGAAAUUAAGGCUCAGCAGUUUUAGUGCCAAUAUGUGCUUCAGGCUGCAACAGAGACCCUCAUACAGUAUACUGUAUGCAGCCAAUAUCUAUGAAGCCAGCAGAGACAAAGAGACUUGAGGAUCUCUUUGAUGUUUGUUCAAUGCUCAAGAGACCACAGUCCAGUAAACCCAUCCCCAGCAAAAGGUUUGCACAUAAGGUUGAAGGGACUCCCAGCGGGAUCCAAGGAAGCUGAGAAAAUUGAUUCAUGAUUAAUAAGGCCCAGCAAGGCUGCAGAACAUCAUGGACAU